GUUUUGGUUAUUUUUCAGAAGAUGUCUGCUGUAUGUUUAAUAUACUAUAUUUGUAUUAUGGGCUCUGGUUCCUGUAAAUCUGAGGUCUCUCUUUCUUGAAUGAAUGAGGAGAUAAGCAAUUGAAUUUGAAAGAUACUUUAUGCAACAGAAAAGCAAUUUUGUUCCUGGUUAUCAGAGGGCAAGAAGUGAACUAGCAAUUUAAUGCUAAAUAUUUUUAACCCCUGGGAAUCUGGUUUGCUUUGAGCCCAAUAAAGAUUAUAUUUUUUUCAAUCCAUCUCAGCUUAUUGUGUUUCAUAUAACAGAGGAGUAUUUUGUUACAAAUUUAGUCAAUUUAAAGUAAUUACCUUUUAUUCUUACUGGGUUUGGAUUUGAUGUUACAGUAUCUCAAAUUUCCAUUUUUAAAAGGGAAGAAGGAAGAUUUCUAUUCCUACCAGUGAAGACUCCUGAAGCGUGGGAUACUGUUUUGCUCUUACAAAGUAGAGACGGGGUUUCACCAUGUUGACCGGGACGGUCUCGAUCUCUUGACCUCGUGACCCACCCGCCUCGGCCUCCCAAAGCGCCGGGAUUACAGGUGUGAGCCACCGCACCCAGCCAACAAGCCAUUCUUUUUAGGUCCUCAUUCA
rnacentral:lncRNA from 1 species